rnacentral:rRNA from 1 species
UACUCCUACGGGAGGCAGCAGUAGGGAAUCUUGCGCAAUGGGCGAAAGCCUGAUGCAGCGACGCCGCGUGAGGGAUGACGGCCUUCGGGUUGUAAACCUCUUUCAGCAGGGACGAAGCGCAAGUGACGGUACCUGCAGAAGAAGCGCCGGCUAACUACGUGCCAGCAGCCGCGGUAAGACGUAGGGCGCAAGCGUUGUCCGGAUUUAUUGGGCG